GUGUGAGUUCAUAGAACCAAGGGUGAGUGAUAAUUUCUUCUGACAUAGUACGUGAGCUGAGAGGGGUUAGUACAAGGAGCGGUGGUGGAGGUGAUAUCUCAGCCGGGGCUGGUGCCUAUAACCCAACAGUAAUUGGUCAAAAAGUAACUACAUAACUCUCACUAAAGCUUAUCACUAGCUUCACACAACACUACCAUAUGCAAACUUGUAAACAGGUACUGCUCAAACAAUACUGCUCACAAACUUGUAAACAGGUACUGAUCAAACCAUAUGCAAGUGCAAGUCUCUCGCUGUGGUUCCAAAGACUGCUCCUUUUGUUCUUCAUCAGUAUCAUGCAAUGCAAAGCUUGUGUCAGGGACAUAACCAACUGCUUUAAUCUUCUUCUUGAGCUCCUUCAGUUUGUGGGUGAGACUGGUCUCCUAUCCCAAUUGAACUCGCUUUGUUUUUCUACUUGACCCAACUGCAAGCGGGCUUCUUCUUUACGUUGUUUAGGUCCAUUUCCCCCCUUACAUUCUGCACAUCCUCCCAUCUCCCUGUAGUUGCGCAGACAUUUGAAUAGAGAACAUAAGAUGAGUCAUAAUAUAGGGAAGAUUAAUGGGUGUGAGUUCAUAGAACCAAUUAUUAUUAUGGGUGAGUGAUGAUUUCUUGGCCCUUGAUUUCAAUUCCUGCUACAUGUAAUGAUGCUCUCUGUCUUUUUAGUCAUGGUACUGAUUAUUUAGUGAUCAAGUCGAAAUGUUCCUCAUUCAUAUGCAUAUAUAUAUAGUUGUUUUUAAGGAUAACUGCCUGGAUAUAUGGCAUAGUUGCUUUUUGGUCCUAAGUUGUGUUUGAUGUUGAUCGAUGCGAUCAAUUGAAAUGUCUGCUUUUGGUUGUUUUGUAUCUUAAAAUGGUUCGGAAUGAGCAUUCCGACAGACUUUCGUUUCAUUUUUGCAUUGGAAUCUCGAUGACUUUCCCAUAUCUUAGCCGGGGCUGGUGGUUUGGAUUCACAUUACUACCGGAAUCUGGAACUUGGAAUAUUAUUUCAAUGCAUAUAUAUUUGUUAAUUGAAGUCUUGAUUUGGGUGUUGGAGAAAUCUUUUAAACUAACUGAUUGUUGGCUGUUUAACAUAUUCAUCCUUGCACAUUCAAAUUUUAUACAUAUGUCAAGAAAAUUAUAUUAUCCUUAAUUAUUGGAAAGUCAAUUUAAC
rnacentral:lncRNA from 1 species